AGCAAGUCAUCUUUGGCCAAGGCAGGCAGGCAGCGUAGCUACUAGCUAGCCAAGCACCAACCCCAUUUCUCCAACGCACACGAGCUCCAUUUCUUUCCUCGGUUCGUGUCAUCGUGUCCAGUACAGAAGCAGAGCAUCGUCGUCCUACGUCCUCGGCAUGGGUUCUCCUACCCGCACUCGCCCAAGCAGCAGCAGCAACAAGAGGGGCGGCGCUCCGUCGUCGCGGCUCGUGUGGGCGUGCCUCGCCGUGCUGCUGCUGGUCCUGCUCCGCUGCUCGCCGUGCCAAGGCCGCAAGCUGCCGGAGGCGGAGCAGAGCGGCGAGGUGAUGCACUUCGAAGGUGGGCUGCUGCUCAAAGUGUCUCCGAGCCCUGGCGGCGGCAAGGUGGCAUCGGUGGCGGCGCCGCCGAGAGGCUUCUCGAGGGCCGCCCGGUCGAUGCGGUCCGUGCCCAGCCCCGGCGUCGGGCAUUAACUGGGAUUGCUUGGUCCUUCGCCGGUUCAAGUUUUGCAUCUUUGCAGUGCUCUCUGCCGCUGCGUCGUCGUCGUCGUCUUCGUCGCUUUGUUCAUCGGCUUGAACCAUUUCACUGUGUGUAUAGGGCGUGUAUGAAUGAAUGGUCCUUCGAACGGGGAGGGAAGGGUCUCGCGUGUGUU
rnacentral:rRNA from 1 species